UAAAAAGAGCUUAGAGCGCCACUUUUGGAAGGAUGGGAAAUUAGAGAUGACUGUGGAAGUUUUAAUACCGGUACGGAGCUGGUGGAGGAAGAAGGUCCUCCCGCUAUUGAGUCACUAUAUCGUUCAGGCGAGAGAAAGUGUACUGGGAACAAGCCUGAUGGGAGGAGAAUAUUUCAAGCAUAUGUCUUCAGAAAUGCAAGCUAUCAUAACCUUUAUCUAGAUACUACUUUUGCUAUUAAAAAUAAACUCCCCCCCCCCCAAACACUUCCUUUUUUAGAGAGGAGAAAGCAAUAUGAACAGAUUGAGUUCCUUAAAUGACUGGCUAUAUAUUGGAAAUAGUUAUUAAGCAUGAUAAUUUCCUUGUUAUAGAUUUACUAUAGAAAUAUAUUUUUGAGACUUUUGAUCACACUUUUCACAUUCAGUAUGAAGAUUUAAAUCUAUAAUCUGAUGUUAUCCCAUCCUGUUUCUGCCCUGAACUUAAGUGAUGCAUGGUUUGUCUGAACUGAUUAUGGCUGAACUGGGUAUCUCAUAGUCAAUUUCAACACUGCAUUGAAUGGGCAUCUAGAUUUCAUGCACUAUCUAAGUGAUUUUUCUAUUAGGAAACAUUCCUAUUGCUAUUGUAUAAAGAAAAAAAGAGUACAUUAUAUAAUAUUUCAUAAUAUAGUGCUUAGAAACUAGAUAGCUAAAUAAAGUAAUGGCACAAAUGAUAAGCAUACUAAAUAAACUGAGAAAGAUAAGGAAAUGCAUAAUGAUUGUGCAUGUUAUACCAUUGUUUAUGAAACAAACAAAAACAAAUAUGUCAGCAGAUGGCCAGCCCGGAUAAAUAAAUAAAAAAAGCUAGGGUUUAAGUUUGAGAAUGAACAAUAGCCUUAGAAGAAUGCAGAUUACCCCUUUUGACCAGACUUCCAUUCAGGAAAUCCAAGACAUAAUACUGUUGUCCUGUAUCCUGUCCUCUAUCUAAGGGCAUUGAUUCAGUUCCACUUAAUCGUGCUGGCCAGUCUUUCCUGUACAUGUUGUAGGUUCCAGACACCAAACAGUCACAAUAAGAAAAGUCUUUUAAUUAAGGACUCACUUACAUGGUUUGGAAAAAGAAAGAAAAACUCCAAGAUGCAUAUUUGGAAUAUGAGACAACAUGGAUAAUUUAUAAUGCUUCAUACCAAAAGAGACCAAUAUUUCAUCUACUGUCUAAACUGACAGUGGUUUUCCAGGUUCUCCAGUAGAGGCCCUUUUUAACAGCUUACGCGGAUUGAAUCUAAAAACUUUGACAUGCAAAACAUAUACUCUUGUCUGCUGAGCUAAAUCCAUAACCAUGUGUGGGAUUUUGCCUUCUCAUUUUACUUUAUCAAUAGUCAGUGUUAUUGACUAUUCCAAUUUUUUUUAAAAAAAACUUAAGGCAAAGUCAAACAUUCCUCUUCAAGAAGAUGAGACAACGCUUUUGUGGAGGUAAACAUAGUAACUCCUAUAUCUUUAUUUCAUUUAUUUUAAAUGUACUUACAACAUUCUUUUGUCCAGAAAGAUUGUAGUGUUGUUUGCAAAUAUCUAAUGGUUAUGCCAUCUAAUGAUUAUGCCACCAGGUCUGGAAUACAUGAUGGAGCCCGUGGGAUAAUUGGGGUGAUAGUUAUGAUUUUUUUUUACUUUGCUGCUAAUUUCUAUUUACAGUGCUAUUUAUUAUAAAAUGUUUUAAUUGCUUUUUCCUGCGCAGAAUCAAGAGGUUGAGAUGGGCACCCAUGUAAAUUGAAAUAAGUGAAUCAAUCCAAACACAUUUAAAUCCAUCUUUUUUUUUUUACAAAAAAAUCAUUUUUGGUGGUUAGUCAACAAGAACAUAUUAAUUAGCAUUGAAAGAGUACCUUUUCCCAGAGGGAGUGCGCUAUUGAACUUUUUUGCAAUUUUAUUUUUUAGGUAACACAAGGUGUGGUAUACCAAGCUUUCUCACAUCAGGGUCAGGAAGUAGAUGCCAAUGAGAUGCUCUGGAAAAUAAGUGGUAGUAACAGGAACUAGCAAACCACUACUCCAAAACAAGAAGCAGGCGGGCAUCAAUGUUGGCGUCUUUUGGUGGAAAUAAUACAUAAUCAUUUCAGAGAGGAAGAAAAGUGAUGGACCAUAUUCUCACCUCCAUUGUAGACUGCAGAGCAAGAUGACUGCUAUUUUUAUGUUUCCUAGCAGGAAGAAAGAGAGGAAAAAUGAUCAGAGACUGCUUUCCUGAGCUAAACAAAAUAACGCAUAAUGCUGUUUUAUAAAGAAUUGUGUUUCUGCAAAUGUUCAUAUCAGCAAAAAUGGUGCAUAUAUUUUCUGGGUACACAUUCUUCAAUAACCAGUGCAAUAUAUUUUUCCCCAAAGGUAUAAAAGCAAUAUUUGUUUUGCAUAAAUUACUGUACUAAUUUCUUCUACAAGCAAAUAACUUGCUUUUACCUUGAAGCAUGUUCCACUUUCACAUCCUAGUGUGCCUCUCUGUCUGAAGAAUAAACAAUCAAGUAAAAUUAGACUGAAAUCACAAAGAAAUCUCCCAUUUCAUUUAAUACAUGAAUUAAAUGCACUGAAGGGAAAUGCAGGUUGUAUUAACCUACAGUAUACAUGUGAUAUACACAUGUACCUUUAAUAUAACCUCUGUGUGAGGAACGUAUUAUUUUACCAGAAGCAAUGAAAUCCUAAGUGGAAUGUGAUGGUUAGACAGCAAUUUUAUAUUUACCAUUAUGUGUAUGUUAGGACUACUUGUGCUUUAAAAUCUUCCCUGAUGUGAGCCCUAGUGCUGUGUGACAAGAUCCCUUUUAUUGAAUAAGGUUUUUAAUUACAUUCAGAGUAUAAUACCCUCAUUGUGACAACUAGGAAUGAAAUCAGAUUCUUUGUUCAAUGUACUAACAACAGAAAAACAAAAUGUUACAUCCCAAGGAGACUCUUUGGCCUGGCUCAGAUUGAGGAAGACUACAAAAACAAGAAGAAAAAUUUUAAGUCUCAUUUUACAUAGGGAAUUUACAAGUUGUACAGGUACAAUGGCAGUCUAGAGAAAAUGGAAGUGCAUAGACUAAUCUUUUAUAUGCUGUAAUUGGUUCCUGUAUAAAAAUGAUCCUCACUUAUGUAAACUACAAGUGUUAAAAAGGAAAAAAAAAAACAAUAACUUCCCUGUUCUUAAUAGGAUGGGUUUUCUCUGUCUUUAUUUACUUAUAUCUACUGAAGGCAUUAAAGAUUCUUCUAGCUAAGAAUUGAAGCUCUCAAAAACCCCGACCAACAUGGCCAGUGAACUGGUAUGAUGGAGGUUGUGGAAUAAAAUGUUUUAUGCACCAGUUCCUGAAUCUGAUGUAAUUUCUUCUAGACAUCCUGCAUCACAACAAGUUCUCCCUUAGUCAUGAAAGCCAGCGGGGUGACUUUGGGACACUCAGUGUCUCUCAAGCCCCUCACAGGGUUGUUGUGAUAGGAGGAAGAAGGUAUGUUGGAUAGGAUCAUCAAUUUGAGUUAUUUGUAAAAAUAAAUACACAAUUCAGAACCAGCACCUUCAACUUUCCAGUGUACAUAGCAGUCAAGGAAUCCUACUAGGAAUUCUAACUUUAUGCCUACUAAGAAUUCUGACUUGCUAAUUCCAAACAAGCCAUGUUAUAGCCAGGUUCACACAACCUACAAAGAUAUAUUCCUUGUCAUACAGAGAGAACCCCAAACAGCCCAAGCCAUUUUAAUUGAGUCAGGCAUAUGAUACAAACCCAUCUAAUGUCUCUUUAUUUCUAGCCAGAGCUGAUAAUUAAUUUUUAUAUAAAAUUUGGCAUCAUCCCACUUUUCUAAUUCAUAUAUAUUACCCAGAGCCACUAACGGGCCUUAAAAUCAAUACAAGGUUUUAAAAGCUUAGAAAGCUUAGACAAAGCUAUUGCUAACUAUAAUAAAUUCCUGAUUUGGGGACAGGGAUUAAGAUAAUGAAUUGCUACAUAAUGGUUACUGCUUUUCACACUAAAUAAAUUAUUUACUGCUUUUCACACUAAAUAAAAUGCCUGUAUUAAUUUGUGCUAACCAAGCCCCAUUAACUGCAUAAUGAUCUAUGGUUAGAAUAAAACAUGCAUUUGAACAUCUGGCAUUUUCUCAUUUGCAACAGAGACAAU